rnacentral:sRNA from 1 species
GCUGGGUGUUUUGGCACAUGCCUGUAAUUCCAACUACGUGGAAGGCUGAGGCAGGAGUAUCACAAGUUUGAGGCCAGCCUUGGCAACUUAGCAAGACCCUGCUUCAG